GAUGAACGCUAGCGGCAGGCCUAACACAUGCAAGUCGAGGGGUAACAUUGGUGCUUGCAUCAGAUGACGACCGGCGCACGGGUGCGUAACGCGUAUAGAACCUACCUUUAACUGGAGGAUAGCCCAGAGAAAUUUGGAUUAAUACUUCAUAGUAUGAUUGAUCAGCAUUGAUUAUUCAUUAAAGAUUUAUCGGUUAGAGAUGGCUAUGCGUUCUAUUAGUUAGUUGGAGAGGUAACGGCUCCCCAAGACAUCGAUAGAUAGGGGUCCUGAGAGGGAGAUCCCCCACACUGGUACUGAGACACGGACCAGACUCCUACGGGAGGCAGCAGUGAGGAAUAUUGGACAAUGGAGGCAACUCUGAUCCAGCCAUGCCGCGUGCAGGAAGACUGCCCUAUGGGUUGUAAACUGCUUUUAUACAAGAAGAACCGAUUUCUCGUGAGAAAUCCUGACGGUAUUGUACGAAUAAGGAUCGGCUAACUCCG
rnacentral:rRNA from 1 species